UACGGAGGAUGCGAGCGUUAUCCGGAUUUAUUGGGCGUAAAGCGAGCGCAGGCGGAAAGAUAAGUCUGAUGUGAAAGCCCCCGGCUUAACCGAGGAAUUGCAUCGGAAACUGUGUUUCUUGAGUGCAGAAGAGGAGAGUGGAACUCCAUGUGUAGCGGUGAAAUGCGUAGAUAUAUGGAAGAACACCAGUGGCGAAAGCGGCUCUCUGGUCUGUAACUGACGCUGAGGUUCGAAAGCGUGGGUAGCAAACAGG
rnacentral:rRNA from 1 species